rnacentral:rRNA from 1 species
UACGUAGGGCGCAAGCGUUUAUCCGGAAUUACUGGGCGUAAAGAGCUCGUAGGUGGUUUGUCGCGUUGUCCGUGAAAACUCACAACUCAAUUGUGGGCGUGCGGGCGAUACGGGCAGACUGGAGUACUGCAGGGGAGACUGGAAGUUCCUGGUGUAGCGGUGGAAUGCGCAGAUAUCAGGAGGAACACCGGUGGCGAAGGCGGGUCUCGUGGGCAGUGAACUGACGCUGAGGAGCGAAAGCGUGGGGAGC